rnacentral:rRNA from 1 species
GAGUUUGAUCCUGGCUCAGAACGAACGCUGGCGGCGUGCUUAACACAGCAAGUCGAACGCGAACGGUUCCUUCGGGGACCAAGUAGAGUGGCGCACGGGUGAGUAACGCGUAAGUAAUCUCCCCUUGCAUUCGGAAUAACUCGCCGAAAGGUGUGCUAAUACCGGAUACGUCUGGAAUAAUGACUUUUUUUCAGAGAAAGGCAGCCUCUGUUUCAAGCUGUCGUGCAAGGAUGAGCUUGCGUACCAUUAGCUAGUUGGUAGGGUAAGGGCCUACCAAGGCGACGAUGGUUAGCGGGUCUGAGAGGAUGAUCCGCCACACUGGAACUGGAACACGGACCAGACUCCUACGGGAGGCAGCAGUGAGGAAUAUUGGACAAUGGGCGAGAGCCUGAUCCAGCCAUGCCGCGUGCAGGAAGACUGCCCUAUGGGUUGUAAACUGCUUUUACAGAGGAAGAACCACCCCCACGUGUGGGGGUUUGACGGUACUCUGCGAAUAAGGAUCGGCUAACUCCGUGCCAGCAGCCGCGGUAAUAC